rnacentral:tRNA from 1 species
GUGCUUUCGCUGAGGUUCGAACUCAGGACCUUUUGCGUGUGAGGCAAACGUCAUAACCACUAGACUACGAAAG